AGCGGCGAACGGGUGAGUAACACGUGGGUAAUCUACCUCUUAGUGGGGAAUAACCCUGGGAAACCGGGGCUAAUACCGCAUAAGCUCGAGAGAGGAAAGCAGCAAUGCGCUGAGAGAGGAGCCCGCGGCCGAUUAGCUAGUUGGCAGGGUAAGAGCCUACCAAGGCAGAGAUCGGUAGCCGGCCUGAGAGGGCACACGGCCACACUGGCACUGAAACACGGGCCAG
rnacentral:rRNA from 1 species